UGCUUGACGACCAUAGAGAAUUGGAACCACCUGACCCCAUACCGAACUCAGAAGUGAAACGAUUCCUCGCCGAUGGUAGUGUGGGGUUUCCCCAUGUGAGAGUAGGUCAUCGUCAAGCUU
rnacentral:rRNA from 1 species